AACGAACGCUGGCGGCAUGCCUAACACAUGCAAGUCGAACGAGACCUUCGGGUCUAGUGGCGCACGGGUGCGUAACGCGUGGGAACCUGCCCUUAGGUUCGGAAUAACUCCCCGAAAGGGGUGCUAAUACCGGAUAAUGUCUUCGGACCAAAGAUUUAUCGCCUUUGGAUGGGCCCGCGUUGGAUUAGCUAGUUGGUAGGGUAAAAGACUACCAAGGCGACGAUCCAUAGCUGGUCUGAGAGGAUGAUCAGCCACACUGGGACUGAGACACGGCCCAGACUCCUACGGGAGGCAGCAGUGGGGAAUAUUGGACAAUGGGCGAAAGCCUGAUCCAGCAAUGCCGCGUGAGUGAUGAAGGCCUUAGGGUUGUAAAGCUCUUUUACCCGGGAUGAUAAUGACAGUACCGGGAGAAUAAGCUCCGGCUAACUCCGUG
rnacentral:rRNA from 1 species